rnacentral:rRNA from 1 species
GACGUAGGGGGCGAGCGUUGUCCGGAAUCAUUGGGCGUAAAGAGCGCGUAGGCGGCCGGUCAAGUCGGGUGUGAAAACCCGGGGCUCAACCCCGGGCCUGCAUCCGAAACUGAUCGGCUCGAGGCAGGUAGGGGAGAUCGGAAUUCCUGGUGUAGCGGUGAAAUGCGCAGAUAUCAGGAGGAACACCGGUGGCGAAGGCGGAUCUCUGGGCCUGUCCUGACGCUGAGGCGCGAAAGCUAGGGGAGCGAACAGGAUUAGAUACCCUGGUAGUCCUAGCCGUAAACGUUGGACGCUAGGUGUGGGCGGUAUCGACCCCGUCCGUGCCGAAGCUAACGCAUUAAGCGUCCCGCCUGGGGAGUACGGCCGCAAGGCUAAA